UACGUAGGAGGCAAGUGUUGUCCGGAAUUACUGGGCGUAAAGCGCGUGUAGGUGGUGGGACAAGUCUGCUGUGAAAGCGCCUGGCUUAACCGGGCGAGGUCGGCGGAAACUGUCCGACUAGAGGACGGUAGAGGGGGGUGGAAUUCCCGGUGUAGUGGUGAAAUGCGUAGAGAUCGGGAGGAACACCUGUGGCGAAGGCGGCCCCCUGGGCCGGCCCUGACACUGAGACGCGAAGGCGUGGGGAGCGAACGGG
rnacentral:rRNA from 1 species